GCUAAACUACCUAGGUUUAAGUCAACUCUGUCAUUUAUGAGAUACAGGAAAUUAAGCAUGUCACUUAAUCUCUUUGUGCCUCAGUCUCCUCAUCUAUAAUAUGGGUCAUAUUCAUAAUGUACCUGCCUUCUAGGGCAUAAAAUGGUGUCUUAUAUAUGAAGUGUUCAAAGCAUGCAGUAAGUGCUAUGAAAAAACAAUGCAUGCCAUUUUGUGUUGUAGGAUUCAAGUAUCUCAACAGAGUGGCCAGAAUAAUCAUAGUUAACAUUCAUAUAGCACUUACCCUCUGCCUAGGCACUUUACGUAUGUUAACUCAUUUAAUCCUCAGGAUACCCUAGGCUAUAGGUAAGAUAUCACCAUCAACAUCAUCAUCAUCCCCAUUUACAAAUGAGCCAACUGUGGCCCAGAGAGUUAAGUGGUUUGCCCAAGGUCACCUGACUGGUGAGUAGCCCUGUUGGGGUCUGAACCCUUGUAGUCUAGCACCAGAGACUAUUCAUUCACCCCUACCCUAGAGGGAAGAGAUAUGAGGGCAACAGGAAGAUUAGAAAAUGUCAUGUUAAGUGUUUGCAGUGAUACUUGUCAAUAAGUUGAAUAUAAUCUAUUUUCGAGGAACACAUAGUCUUCAUUUUGAGGGUUUGUUUCCUGUUGUUCUUCUUCAGUUCUGAGGACAACGAUCCCCAUCUGUGGUGCCCCACUGAAUUCAUACUGAUCCACGUGCAGACCCUCCAAUCCUGGAAACAUUUCAUGAAGUAUUUCUGGAGAGCAUGAGAUAAGUUAUCCAAGCAGGAAACAGAAAAAAAUUAGUAUGCCAAGAAAUCAGAGGAGAAUCAAAUUUGAUAUCAAGGAUUGAAUAUGAGUGUAUGAUACUGGAGGGGAAGAGAAGAAGACACUACUGCUGGUGUUAUUCACAAGAGCCUAUUUCCACAGGAGGCAAAACUGGCCACUCAGAAGAACUAAGCUCCCAUGCUCUGUGGAACAUUUUCCCUGUGAAGAAUCUUGAUGCCCAUUAAGGGAGGGAGGGACAAGAAAUAGAGCUCUGCACCUCCCAACUUCAAAGGAUUGAGGUGGGUGUGUGAUGACAGAUGGUGCUAAAUCAAAAGGCACAUUGAUUCUCUCUGCCGUGGUAACAAAUGAUGCCCAAUGCUCUGUGGUUUGCAGCAACAAAGCUUCGCUUCUGUUGGAUGUGACUUUGCUUGGGAUACAGGGUGAAGGAACCCCUGUUUACAACGUGCUACUCUUAUGGCAAAGGGCUUCUGUUUAAAUGUGGCAUAAGUUAUAUCUAUUUCCACUUUAUUGGCCAAAGCAAGUUACAUGGCCAAGCCCUAUGUCAAUAGGACUGGGCUGUAUAUUCUUUUUCUCAUAAGAGACACUGAAUAUUCAUGGAAACAGGCAGGACAUACACUUCUUUUGUACAAAGGGAGAAUAAAGAGUUGAGAGCAAUAACACAAUCUACCCCCAAAGUUUUUCUAUGGCCUUGCAGCCUAAAAACCAUCAAACCCAUUUCUCCUGCCUCCCUAGUUGUAGGAGAAGGAAGGAUUAAGAAAGGAAAAAUAUAAAAUGCUGUUGUGAUCACUUAAAUCAGGGGUAGAAAAAUCAGGGACGUGGAAAAUCAGGGGCACAGAUGGAUCAAACAUCUCCCUCUCCAUUUGUCACUUUGGGAGUUAAGAAGGUGUGUUGUUGAGCCAGCAAAAUCGCAGCUGUCAAAGAAUGUGGUUUUACGCACCACAGCUUUGGCACUAGAUUGAUAAUGUGGUAGACUGCAUUAUUAUUUCCCACUUUUCACUGCCCCUCUAUGUGAGUGGGUUAUGCUUCUCUACCCUAGGGAUAUCAAGAUUGGCCAUGUGACUUGCUUUGUCCAAUGAAAUGUGAGCAGAAGUUCUGUAGGUAUCUUGGAAGCUAUUGCGUUGUUCUGCUAUAUCUAUAUAUUUUUUACCUCUUCCACAAGAACACCAGUGUCUCAAACAGCCUGAUCAUGGGAAGAAGGAGCUAUUUGAAACAGAGCUGUAGCUCUCAUGCAAGGUGAGCAAGGAGAUAAGCUUUUUUGUUGUAAGUCACUGAGAUUUGGGAACUGUUUGUUACUGUAGCACAAUCUAAUAAAAAAUGAAAGCCAGUUGAAACAAAUAAUAAUAAAAAAUUUGAAAUUUAUUGAUAGCCUACUUUUGCCAGAUAUUGUUCUUGGUCUUGUGCAUGUAUAGACAGAAUGUUUGUUUCCCCCAAAAUUCAUGCUAAUUCUUAAUGUCUAAUGUGAUAGCAUUUGGAGGUGGGAUUCUUGGAGGUGAUUAUGUCAUGGUGGUAAAGCCCUCAUGAAUGGGAUUAGUGCCCUUAGGAAAGAGACCUCAGAGAGCUUACUCAGCUCUUCCAGCAUGUGAAAAUGCAGUGAGAUGAUUGUCGUUUGUGAUCCAGAAAGCCAGUCUUUACCAGAUACUGAAUCUGCUGGUGUCUUAAUCUUGGACUUACAGCCUACAGAUCUAUGAGAAAUAAAUUUCUACUGUUUAUAAG
rnacentral:lncRNA from 10 species